rnacentral:tRNA from 1 species
GCGGCAGUAGCUCAGUGGUAGAGCCCCCGCUUCGCCUGAGGGGACCCGGGUUCAAUUCCCCGCUGCUUCC